ACUUUACAAAAUGGAAGCGAGAGGCCCAACUCGGCGGAAAACCUGUCUCCCUCCAGCAGGUAGAGAUACCUCGAAGUAGCUGCUUUCUAUACCUCUCGAUCACACGUUCUCUGCGUCUGCUCCACACCACUGAGGCACUGCGGAUGUUGCUCUACCAAGGAGAAGAGGUAACAUUGAGAUCCUACAAAAGGAGGCUUACUGGAUAUCCUAUCUAAAAACAUUGACAUCUAGUGGUCUGAAUAUUGACUUUGACUCAGUCCCUUAUGAACAAUUCUCUAUUUUAUGAACAAGUCUUAUAAAUGGAUAUAUUCUUUCUACAGCUUAUUAGCGUAUACCGAAUAUGUUCCCCUGUUGAUGAUGCUUAUUAUGCAUUAAGGUUGAACCAAAAGAUUACAUGUAACAAAUAUAAAUAAAAAUAGGAAACAAUUAAAUAUGUGAAAUUUAAUUAAACAAUAAUGUAUGUUGAUGCUAAUAUUAUGUACCAUACUCAAUUAUGUUUGCAUAUGAUAGCCUAAUAUAUUUAAUAUGCCAUAAACUAUUGUUUAACA